rnacentral:lncRNA from 1 species
AGUUUUAUUCAGGACAUUCUGCAGCUGCAGUUUGGAGUAAAAUUGUGCUCUGGGACAGGUGGUCCAAGCUACGUUUGCAGAAAUGCUUAUCUAUCGUUCUCUUCAUUUUAAACUCCGAGGAGGAAGCAAGAAACAUGGCCGCUAUAAAGACAGAUUUCAACAGGCCUUCUAAAUCCCCGGGACCUCUCCAAGGGCAAGGAAGCUAAUCAGUGCCUGAGAUGACAGAUAGGAUGUCGCGAUGAAGGCCCUGGAUUUUACAGUGACAGCAUAAUGUGUGAUGGUGGCCCUCUCUCUGUGUGUUCAAAUCCAACUCUAUCUCAAUGCACAGUUAGGUCCUAUUUUCUCUGAGAAGCCUGGCCUGAUGGAUUUCACAGCUCAUAGGACUGGUAAAAUGCUUUUUACUAACUGUGUCCCAGCUUCUUUGUAAAAAAUUACUCUUGUUAUUAUUAUUUGCUGUAUUGGAGAUUUAACCCACACAUGUGCAGUAGGCAAGCAGUAUGUCAUGUCUAGUGUUUGUCUAAUCCCUUUGGCACUUGAGCUAGCCAGCCUGUUGGAGUAUACUGGGUGAAGAUGCAUCUAUUCAACUACUCAUUCUGUACUGUCCCUGGUCUUAUAUUUUAUAAAUCUUUGUCCCUUCCUCACAUGUCUAAAGCAAACUAGAAAUUGUAUCUUAUUGGCUUUAAUAAAGACCUGACAGCCAACAGCUGGGAAGGAGAUGGAAGCCAGAAGUCUGGGCAGAGGUAAGGACUCCAAGAGAAGAACCAAGAGGCAGAAGAUUCUCCAAUGAACACAAGAUGGGCAGAUGGACUAGAACUAAGCAAAAGAAGACUUGACCCCAUGGCUGGAUGUGGUGCCAGGAUUAAUUGGAUUAGAGUAGUUGGGAAACAGCCAGGCAAAAGGCCGAAAAUUUAAAAUAUUAAUAAACCUCUGUGUCAUUAUUUAUAUCACUGAUAGUUCCAAGAUAGUCCUGGUAUACCAGCUUAUGUAGGCAGUUUGUUGAAAAAAGUAGGAGAUGUAAAUUACACCCUCCCUCAUUAACCAAAUCAACAAAGAAUAAUGCCAGUUCAUGUCAUGGUAUCCAGAAAGGAAUAAACAUGGCUCCCUGCCCAAAGUUCAAAUUAUUAUUUGAAUUUUUCCCUGAUCCUUGUUUUCCUUGGAGAAGGAGAAUCUUUCUAGGAGUAGCCCAUGAAACAUGUAAAGAACAGCCUUGGGCACCUGCCUUUCAGGAUUGCUUUCUGCUUUAAGGAAGUCCAGAGAGGAAUCCCAAUACACAUUGGGACUGUCUUUGCCUGUUCUGUAUUUUGAAGAAGCCCCAGAAAUGUUCUUGCUGAGUGUCUUCUUGAAUCAAACAGGCCUUGACCCAAUAAGGUCCUGGAGACCUAAUGUCCCACUUAUGAUCCUGGAGCCCUAAGUGAGAAAGAAACCAUCGCCAAGAGAGAGCUUUGCCAAACGAUGACCAAAUAUGGUGAUCACCUAAUCUCUUGUCCCUAACCAAAAUAUUCCUUCCUAGAUCUCUUCUGAGAUUUUCCACAGCCAGAGCAGACCAGAGUCUACUGCUGGCAUUCAUUGCUGCAGAAAAGCACUUCUUCCAGUCUCCUUGGCAAUUUUAUAGAUGCUGAAGAGAGUUGAGUAAUAAAAAACAAAUAUUCCCCAUGUCUCAGAUGUCCAAGUUGUCCUUCGGGUUGAUGACGAUCAUUUAUAACAUUGCCUGUUUACUCUACAUGUGCACAUAAUUUACAUGAUCUGACUGCAGAAUACCUCACAAUUUCUAUAUUUUCAGAUGAGCUUGAAGAACUCGUGAAAUUUUGGAUAGGCUACCAGCAUAUGCUAUAGAGUAUUUUGUCCCUAAUGUCGGCAUGAAUAUAGUUUACCUACUGAAAUAGCUGCUACAUAUAGAUCUGCACACAGAUUUUCUUAUGAGCAAAGCACUUAGCUAAAAAGAAGAAAUCUGUGUGAAUGAGGAGGCCUAAAUUGACAUCUAGCCAGGCACAGUCAUCCUUUCUAAGGUAGCCAAGUCAGGCCUGCCUCUAGCUAAAUGUUUCCCUGGAGAGAACUUACCUUCUAAUGGAAUAGGAAGAUCUCAGUCAGAAUCUAGGACUGAAAACACAAAGAUAAAAAGGAAUCUUGAAUAAAUUUAGAUGAGCCAUUGUCAUUCGGCUGUUAGCUACAGGUUGCAUUAAUAUGGCAAUGGCUGGAGUUGAACAAUAAACUAUUCACUGUAUGACUAAA